rnacentral:rRNA from 1 species
GACGAACGCUGGCGGCGUGCUUAACACAUGCAAGUCGAACGGAAAGGCCCUGCUUUUGUGGGGUGCUCGAGUGGCGAACGGGUGAGUAACACGUGAGUAACCUGCCCUUGACUUUGGGAUAACUUCAGGAAACUGGGGCUAAUACCGGAUAGGAGCUCCUGCUGCAUGGUGGGGGUUGGAAAGUUUCGGCGGUUGGGGAUGGACUCGCGGCUUAUCAGCUUGUUGGUGGGGUAGUGGCUUACCAAGGCUUUGACGGGUAGCCGGCUUGGGAGGGUGACCGGCCCCAUUGGGCCUGGGAUACCGCCCGUACUCCUUCGGGGGGCAGCAGUGGAGGUUAUUGCGCGAUGGGCGGCAGCCGGAUGGAACAUCUCCGCGUCCUGGAUGACUGCUUUCGGGUUGGAACCCGCGUUCGCCUGUGACGAAGCGUGAGUGACGGUAACGGGUAAAGAAGCACCGGCUAACUACGUG